UGCUUGCUUGUAAACAGGGAAGACUCUCCUCCCUCCUCUGUCUAAACUCAGAAUGGGGUUUGUAGGCCCCAUUACGGCACCUCCUGGUAGCAGAAGCAGCAGCAAGGUCUUUCGGAAGCCACUACGUUGAAAUCCCCUCAUUCUCUGGGGCCUGGCUCCCAGGAGAGUCACAAAUGGGUUUGGAUUUGUAUCAGUUUCAAACACAGAUGAAAUAAAGGAAGAAAGAACCCUCUCUCCAAACUAUUGAAACAGUCUCCAAGCCCACAGAACGUGCUGUCGUAUUGUUUGCCCUCAGAAACAUUACAAUGCUAGCAUCUAUCUGCCUGGGUCAUUGUUGAAUGGCCUUUGCUCCUGAGGAGCGCAUUACCAAAGGUGGAGACAGGACCUCCAGGCAGAACCAGAUGAACGUCUUCUCGGGGGGAAGCUGCCACCCCCCACCCACCUGUGCGUGAUCAUCUCAUGGUCAAAAUUCAACCUACCCUGCUUAUAACUUAGAGAGGACUCCACCCACCCUCUGCUACCCCUUCAGGCCCCUCUACUCUUGCAGAGUCCAGCUGGGAGAAUGCCAGAAAUACUGUGUGGAUGUGUGCCUGCCUCUGGGAAGGCUUGAAAUGCGCCUGGCACCAGACGCGGACACCAAGAGAGCCAGCAGACAGAUCCUGGAAGCAAGGCCUGGGUGUAUGCCUUGCUAAGAGAGACCUUGCACCUUAUGAAUAUUGAAAGGCUUUUGCGACAGAUUUCUGACCCUUUUGCGAAACAAUUUACCGGGCUCAAUGGGAAGCUGGAGAAAACUGCAACAGAUGAUGUUGUAACCAGCUGAAAGGGGCAAGAGACAUUUCCAGUUCAGCAUUCCCUUGGAUUUGAACAAUUGCAAAAGGGUUUGUGACUCAAGGUAUACAUGAAUGAUGCUGGACUGGUCCCAUUAGAGAGUGAAGUUCAUAGAAGAGAAACAGCAUUCUGCAGUUCCCUGCACUGCCCUCAAUCUCCCUCUAGCAGGUGAGAGGGUAGCUCAAUCCCACGUUCAUUCAGUACCUGGCCUCCCUAUUGAGACUACCUGCAAUACUAUUAAAUGUGGUAUUGGCUUUCCAAUUAAAAGUAUCCAUUAGGAAGUGGCCUGAGAUCACUAACUCAUCUCACACAGGACACUGAACAGCAGUCAGAUGAUAAUUUUAGGUCAUGGGUAUUAAACAUUUUUCAUACUUGCUAGUAUUAUAAUCAAUUCCUCUGUUAACCUGUAGCAGAAACAGCUUUGUUCUGCUCACACAUAGGAAUAUCUCUAUAGUCUAUGACAACUGACUUGCACUUAGGACAAAGACAACUGUAGAGAAGGACGAGUGGAACUUUAGCACAGGGCCUUUCUGCAACUCUGACCUGGCCUAGACUAAACUUUUACAACGUCUGAACAUAGCUGGGUUCAUGUUUGCUCACACCAUGCUGAAUACAAUGCAGUGAUCAGCGUAAACCAGGCAAAAUAAUGUGUUCGUAUCCUGGCAGCUAACCAUGCCCAGGCCUUAGAUUGAGAGGCUCACAUCCUGAUCUCAGUCGCAAAAGUGUAGAAGUCAGCAGAGACAACACAUAACCGUUGAUGGGGGUGGGGGUCAAAAUUUAAAGCAACAGUUUUCAAACUUUUUGAGCUGAGACCCCCUUUGACUUACAAUUUUUGGUUGCUCCCAGACAAAGAGAGGUGAGUCAAGGGGCAGACGUGGCGCUCCCUCACCAAGCUCCACUGUGCGGUGUUGAAGCCUGAGCCUGCCUGGCGUUGGUGCUCACCCCCACCCCAAACGUUCCUCCAUGCCCCGUAGGGGGAUAUUCCCCACAGUUUGAAAACCUCUGAUUUAAAGGUUCUGGUGGUAUGCAGCAGGGUUCAGGGCAGGCCAUAUAAACCCCAACAGAAAACUCACGUUGCCCCCCACCACUACCCACUGGAAGUAAAUUUUCACCUAAAUGGAGCUAUUCCAGACUUACACCAGUGUAAGUGAGAUCCAAGUCCAUGUCUUAUUCCUCUGUCACCCUACUUUAUAUUCAAAUUGUUUUGUUUUUUUAAUUCCUAAAAAGUAGGCAGCAUAAUACAUAAAGCAUCCACUCUAACUCCUUUGCCUACUUAAAUGACAGUACUGGAUUUAGGUCUGUCUGGUGUCAAAAGGCUAUAUGCUUCAGAAAAAGAAUAGGGGUUGAGAAAAAAAGAAGUGGAAAUAACAGUAAACAUGACCGAUUUGCAUGGAUUCUCCAGGAAGAAAAAUGGGAAAAUGCCAAAAAAUAAACCCUCCCAUCUGACAAAGCUGACCCUGUCUGGAUUUGGCUUUUGCAAUCCUUAUACUGCAACUGAUAAUGCUAGAAAAAUGUCUUCCUUCACAAAAACAGCAGACAAUCCCUUUAGAUUUAAUGCAACAGCCAUCCACAGUGACAUGCACAAUUCAUUACAAACACAGGUACUAGUGUCCCUCUUGCACCUUCAUACAACUAUAGUGUCCAUAAAGAUGCAACACAACAGUUCUAUAGCAAAGAUUUUUGCUUUUAACUAACAAUCAAUAUUAUUUUUAAUCAUUCUCCACUUUUUUACAUUGCAUUUAAAUUGGCUUUAUUUCAAGAUCAAACAAAAAUAUUCAGGAGCUGACACACACUAGGGCUGUCAAACUAUUACAAAAAAUUGCGAUUAAUCAUGAGAUUAAAAAAAAUCAUGAUUGCAGUUUUAAUCACAAUAGAAUACAAUUUAUUUAAAUAUUUUGGAUGUUUUCUAGAUUUUCAAAUAUAUUGAUUUCAAUUACAACACAGAAUACAAAGUAUACAGUGCUCAUUUUAUAUUUGUCUUACAAAUAUUUGCACUGUAAAAAAGAAACAAGAGUUUUUUUCAGUUCACCUCAUACAAGUACUAUAGUGCAAUCUCUAUCAUUCUAUUCUAUAAACUGCAACUUACAAAUGUAGAAUUAUUUUUUUCUGCAUAACUGCACCCAAAAAUAAAACAAUGUAAAACUUUGGCACCUACAAGUCCAUUUAAUUCUACUGCUUGGUCAGCCAAUUGCUCAGACAAACAAAUUUGUUUACAUUUACGGGAGACAAUGCUGCCUGCUUCUUAUUUUCAAUGUCACCUGCAAAUGAUAAUAGACAUUCGCAUGGCACUUUUGUAGCCGGUAUUGCAAGAUAUUUACAUGCCAGAGAUGCUUAACAUUCGUAUGCCCCUUCAUGCUUUAACCACCAUUCCAGAGGACAUGUAUCUAUGCUGAUGACGGGUUCUGCUCGAUAACAAUCCAAAGCAGUGUGGACCAGCGCAUGUUCAUUUUCAUCAUCCGAGUCAGAUGCCACCAGCAGAAGGUUGAUUUUCUUUUUUGGUUGUUCGGAUUCUGUAGUUUCUGCAUCGGAGUGUUGCUCUUUUAAGACUUCUGAAAGCAUGCUCCACACCCCAUCCCUCUCAGAUUUUGGAAGGCACUUCCGAUUCUUAAAUCUUGGAUCAAGUGCUGAGCUAUUUUUAGAAAUCUCACAUUAGUACCUUCUUUGUAUUUUGUCAAAUAUGUAAUGAAAGUGUUCUUAAAAUGAACAUGUGCUGGGUCAUCAUCUUUCACAUGAAAUAUAUGGCAGAAUGCAGGUAAAACAGAACAGGAGACAUACAAUCCUCCCCCAAGGAGUUCAGUCACAAAUUUAAUUAAUGCAUUAUUUUUUUUAACAAAAGUGUCAUCAGCAUGGAAGCAUGUCCUCUGGAAGGGUGGCUGAAGCAUAAAGGGACAUACGAAUGUUUCGUAUAUCUGGCAUGUAAAUACCUUGCAAUGCUGGCUACGCCUGUUCUCACUUUCAGGUGACAUUGUAAACGAGAAGCGGGCAGCAUUAUCUCCUGUAAAUGUAAACAAACUUGUUUGAGCAAUUGGUUGAACAAAAAGUAGGAUUUGAUGGAUUUGUAGGCUCUAAAGUUUUACAUUGUUUUGUUUUUGAGUACAGUUACGUAACCAAAAAAAAAAAAAAUCUACAUUUGUAAGUUGCACUUUCAUGAUAACGAGAUUGCACUACAGUACUUGUAUGUUGUGAACUGAAAAAUACUAUUUCUUUUGUUUAUCUUUUUUACAGUGCAAAUAUUUGUAAGAAAACAAUAUAAAGUGAGCACUGUACACUUUGUAUUCUGUGUUGUAAUUAAAAAUCAAUAUAUUUGAAAAUGUAGAAAAACAUCCAAAAAUAUUUAUAAUCAAUUUAAAUUGGUAUUCUAUUACUGUUUAACAGUGCGAUUAAAACUGCAAUUAUUCGUGGUUAAAUUUUUUAGUCAAAUUAAUUUGUUUUGAGUGAAUUGCUUGAGUUACUGCAAUAUAAAUAAAGGGACAUUAAACAAUUCCUGAGCUUUUGCUGUCUCAGUAUUUUUAAAGAUGACAUUGAUCAAAGGGACUGUGAACUCUAAUGGGAAUUGAUCAGCAAAGCAAGGUGAUGUCACUAAACAGGGCAUCUCAUUGUGGGAUUCCAAACUCUUCCUUUCAUCUGAUGUGCAGUCAAAUGAUCCAUAACCUCCGCCCUAAGCUCGAUAACAGCUAUUUCUAAACUGCUAGCAUUUCUUUGGAAAGAUGCAUGGUCAAAUGGAUUAAUUUUUAUGCAAAGCAAUCAGUUAUGUAUCUGCUUCAUAAUAUUCUAGCAUUACAGGUCUGGAGGGCAGAAGGCAGCUCUCCCAUGUUCCCUCUUGUACCCAACAUGUCACCAUUGCACACAGUCUGCUACUGCAGUGGAGGAGUGGUGGUUUGUGAAGAAUGGCAGAAGUAGAGACUUUGGGAGAUGAUAUUUUAGCCCUCUUAUCACCAUAUAAUGCACGUUCCAAUCAUGUGCUGCUCUCAUCUGGUGCACUUGGGUCUUGUGAAGAGGCACAAAUGCACUCAAUGUGUUUUAGGACUUGUGUAUGCACUGGGGUCCUGUGCUGUAUGGGAGUAUGAUUUCUAAAGCAUACUAGCACUGUUGGUUAUUAAUUAGUCCAUGUAGACCCUGCUGAUGCGCUUUAAUGUGGCACUGUUUGAAACAGUUCUGUUAAAGCGCAUGUGGGAACCUUUAGUGCACAUCCACGGAGUCUACAUGGACCAAUUAAUGUGCACUUUAGAAAUCACACGCCUGUAGAGCAUGUUACCCCGCCGUGUAGACAAGCCCUUAGACUGUAAAUCCUCUGGGACCAGAAUUGCCUCUUUUCUGUGUUUGUACAGCACCUACUACAAUGGGCCCCCCAAUCCUGAGUCUUUGGGUGCUCCAGCCAGGACAGAUAUUUACUAUUACAGUAAGAACUCUAGAUAUGAAGCAUUCAGAUACUGUGGUGAUGAAGGCUAUAUAUAAACCAGGAGAGAACAGUCUGCUAACUGAAUUGAAAGCAAAACAAUUCCUAUUUUCAGCUGAUGCUGGAACCUCGGUGGGGAAAGUUCACUUUGACAGGAGAUGCAACUAAAUAUUUGUAGUCUCUUUAAAAAUCAUAUUCAUUACCUUCUCCUUUGCUAGUGCUGAUGCUUUCUUUAAUGGCUUUGGAUAUCUGGCUGCAAGUGGAACAGAAUAGAAAGAUUUUGGACAGGGAGGAGGAAGUGGUGGGUAGAACUGUCUUGUUGCUAUGGAGGAAUCACUCAGAAUGAUUUGUCAGACAAUGGACCACAGCAUCAGGAUGUCGGGGUGGGUGUGUGUGUGAGAAAGAGAGACACACACACACACACACACUCACAUUGUCUCUGUAAAUAGGAACCUGGAUAUAAAACUAGAAUAGCUAGCAAGACAGAUCGCAAUGAAAUUUGAGCUGUAUGGCAAUUCUGCUUCUGAGCAGCCCUGCUAGUCCUCAUUCAGCUUUGAGGGGAACUAACUAUAUUAACAGUGAAGCAGCUAUUACACUCACAACAGGAGAUGGACAGUGAUGUGAUGUAUAUGAUGUGGAGUCUUCACUUAUGGAGAUGCCACAUCUUUCUCUUUGGGGGCAGUUCGCUGAAAAAGCCAUCCAGAGAAUCUCCCCCAAUGGCAGAAAGUUGACAGUGGAUCCAAAAGGCAAAAAGUGCUAGUUUAGGAAGACAGAUGAAGAGGACACGCUUACUUCAUCGCUGUGGCCCAGCUGAGUUUAGUAUCCUUAUGUGUGUGGGUUUUUUUAAAGGGGCUAUAUAGAGAUAAAUCACUAAUUCGAAAAGGUUGCAUACUUCCCCCACCCACUGGGGGAAAAAAGCCUAGUUCACAUCCACCAGCCAUAUGUACUUUUGUGUAGAGCUGUGUUGGUGCUGUCUGGGGAAGAGUGCUGGUUUAAUGAAAUACCAAGCUUCCUUGGAACCACACAUCCUAAUCCCAAGAACAAUGGCUGUGCUUGGCCAGAUAGAUAGAAUGAGUUCCAUGCAGGUGGAAUUCCAUAUCUGUGUGUCUUUUAAGCAAUACUUUAAAAUUCAAGGGCCUAUCUGCUCUUCCUAGACACACAAAAUCCUAUGGCACUUCUUCCAGUUUUCCAUUCUUUACUAGCGGGCUGCAUACCAGUUUUCCACCCCAUUGCUGCCCUCCAGCUCAAGGGUCAUAACAAUCCACAGUGUGCUAAGUUUUCAAAACACUGUAUAAAAAAUCCUCACUUGUCUCCUAUGGGGCAGGAAAGUUUACAGAUGGGGAAAGGUUUCAGAGUAACAGCCGUGUUAGUCUGUAUUCGCAAAAAGAAAAGGAGGACUUGUGGCACCUUAGAGACUAACCAAUUUAUUUGAGCAUGAGCUUUCGUGAGCUACAGCUCACUUCAUCGGAUGCAUACUGUGGAAAUUGCAGAAGACAUUAUAUACACAGACACCAUGAAACAAUACUUCCUCCCACCCCACUCUCCUGCUGGUAAUAGCUUAUCUAAAGUGAUCAUCAAGUUGGGCCAUUUCCAGCACAAAUCCAGGUUUUCUCACCCUCCGCCCCCCCACAGACAAACUCACUCUCUUGCUGGUAAUAGCCCAUCCAAAGUGACCACUGUCUUCACAAUGUGUAUGUAGAUGGGGAAACUGAUCCUGGGAGGUUGCAAUUUACCCAAGAUCACAGAAUAAGUAUCAGGCCCCUGGUUGAAACUCUGGGCUUCCACCCUCCCAGCCUCAACCUCAGUCCCUUUAAAACCCACUGCUUCAUUAAAUUCAGUGAUACUGUAUUUAUACUCACUCUAUACAUGGAACAUAUUCAUAUAAACCUUACCAAUUAAUGGUUGUGUGCCUUAGAUUAAAGGUGCUGUAGAAAUUAUAAAUUGUCUUGCUUGAAUAAAAAGUUAACCAUAUCCAAUAUGUAGAUUGAUUAAUUGAUUUUAAAACAUUUAGAACCCAAUGUCUUAGAUGCUUUACACACAGGUAGGAAUAUAUAGUCCAGGCCCCAAAGAGCUGAUAUUCUACACAGGUAACAUAUGUACAAAGGGCAGUGAUGGGAUGGAACAAAAGCAGAUGACCUCUGCACUGCCUCACUCUCUCCUGAGGUGACUUGACUACCAGACAUCGAGGUGACAUGCUGACUAGGAGGCACGUUGGACUCAUCACAGCUCCUGGACACUCGGGAACAGAACAGGUAUGAGAAAUGCCUUUGACCACUACAAACAAGCCUGGAAAUGACAGUCAUUCCUGUCACAUGAGGACCCUGCCAUUGUAAUACACACUUCUUUGUCACCUCCAAUCUGUACUUCUGCAACUUGCUCUACCUGGGGCUGACUUAGGAAUUCAGUCAAAUUCAGGCUGCAGCAUGGUUUUGGAGCCAGAAAUAUUGAUGCGAACGUUGCUGAGCACCAGCGCAAUGCACUACAAGCUCCCGAUCCUGCUCUGGCUCCACACCAAAGUCCUGUCUCUCAUUUACAAGGCCCUCCAUGGCUUGUGGCCUGGCUAGCUCUGAAUCUCGCUCCUGAUCAAGGACCGCCGGUUACAACUGUGAUGAUAGGGAAGCUGAAGCUGCCCAUCUAAUUAAGCAACAGUGAAGACCUCUUCCGUUAGACUGCUUGUGCGCCUUAAUUUUGUACUGCUGCCUUGAUACCACAACAAAAAGGGUGCUCAAUGAAUCAGUUAGAUGCAUACCGAUUAGCAUGAGUUUUGUUCAUGCUAUAAUGUUUUUCACUGGGGGAGACAAUAUUUAUUCUGUUGUGCUUUGUUUGUAUGACUCUUGUUCUUUUCUUUCUAGGCUGGUUGACAAGUGCAUAAAGAGAUUUAAUGAAUGUGAAACAUUACAAUUAGCCCCGCAAUGAUAAGAAACUAAUACAUAUUAGAACCUCUGACACACUGGGGACUCCAGCGCACUGUGGAAAGUAGGACUUGCUGGUCAGGACACAUUGAUUUCCUUAUGACUCCAUCCACGCAGGAUUCAAGGACAGGACAAAACACUAUUAAGUCAGCAAGCAGACUGCAGUAAAUAAUGCAAGAGUUUUAGAGGGCUGAGGUUGUGUUUGAGUUAUAUAAAUUUUGUUGAGCUAUGCAUCUCAGCAUCAUGUUGACACUGUCUCUGGCACAUAAGAGAAAUCUUGAUAGGUAACAUGAGUCAAAAAAGCCAUUUGGGAUUUGAGAUGUGUUGCAGCUUAUUUUCAUGCAAGAGGCAAAAAUAGCCGCCCCACACAAAAAAGAAACACUGUAUCUUAUCAAUGGCUCCCAUUAACAAACUAAAACAAACACAAAUCUAUGCAUAGCAAUGUAACUAAUGUUUGUUUAUGAAAGAAGGAGAGGGGAGACUCCAGUAGUGCACUCAGAAAGAGAUAACGGCUUUCCAUGGACUAGCAGGAGGGAGAAAGAAACCCAUUAGCAUUCCUGCUCCUUUGUUUGCUUUUAUAGGCUCUGAUCCUGAAAAUGCUUGAGCAUCUGAGUGGUCCAAUUGAGCUCAGUGGGACUAAUCAAGUGCACUAAGUUAUUCAUGUGAUCAGGUGUUUGCAGGACCAGGGUCCUAGUUUAGUGCCACAGGGAAACA